GGCGGUAUGGCCAAGCGGUAAGGC
rnacentral:tRNA from 1 species